GACGAACGCUGGCGGCGUGCUUAACACAUGCAAGUCGAACGGUAAGGCCCUUUCGGGGGUACACGAGUGGCGAACGGGUGCGUAACACGUGGGUGAUCUGCCCUGCACUUUGGGAUAAGCCUGGGAAACUGGGUCUAAUACCGGAUAGGACUACGCGAUGCAUGUCGUGUGGUGGAAAGCUUUUGCGGUGUGGGAUGGGCCCGCGGCCUAUCAGCUUGUUGGUGGGGUGAUGGACUACCAAGGCGACGACGGGUAGCCGGCCUGAGAGGGUGUCCGGCCACACUGGGACUGAGAUACGGCCCAGACGCCUACGGGAGGCAACAGUGGGGAAUAUGGCACAAUGGGCGCAAGCCGGAUGCAGCGACGCCGCGUGGGGGAUGACGGCCUUCGGGUUGUAAACCCCUUUCAGCACAGACGAAGCGUAAGUGACGGUAUGGGCAGAAGAAGCACCGGCCAACUACGU
rnacentral:rRNA from 1 species